rnacentral:misc_RNA from 1 species
GUGAAUCAUCAAAUCUUUGAACGCAAAUUGCACUCUCUGGUAUUCCGGAGAGUAUGCCUGUUUGAGGGUCAGUUUAAAUAAAAUUCGGUGUGGUGGCGGCCUUUCUUGGUGGCGCACCGGAUUUGGGUCGUCUGGCUUUCGGUUAAGUGACCUAAAAUUUGGCAUGAUUUUUUCGACCGAAUUUAAAUUAUUUUACGUCGGUUUGGUAUAUCAAUUACUGGU